CCUACGGGAGGCAGCAGUGGGGAAUAUUGGACAAUGGGCGAAAGCCUGAUCCAGCCAUGCCGCGUGUGUGAAGAAGGCCUUCGGGUUGUAAAGCACUUUCAGUGGGGAAGAAAGCCUUGGGGCUAAUACCCUCGAGGAAGGACAUCACCCACAGAAGAAGCACCGGCUAACUCCGUGCCAGCAGCCGCGGUAAUACGAAGGGUGCGAGCGUUAAUCGGAAUUACUGGGCGUAAAGCGCGCGUAGGCGGUCUGAUAAGCCGGUUGUGAAAGCCCCGGGCUCAACCUGGGAACGGCAUCCGGAACUGUCCGGCUAGAGUGCAGGAGAGGAAGGUAGAAUUCCCGGUGUAGCGGUGAAAUGCGUAGAGAUCGGGAGGAAUACCAGUGGCGAAGGCAGCCUUCUGGACUGACACUGACGCUGAGGUGCGAAAGCGUGGGUAGCAAACAGGAUUAGAUACCCCUGUAGUC
rnacentral:rRNA from 1 species